GGCCUGACUGCCUUGGAAGCCAAUGACCCAUUUGCCAAUAAAGACGAUCCCUUCUACUAUGGUGGCAAAUGCAAAUGCAAGAGCAGCCAGAAGCAGCACAGUCCUGUACCUGAGAAGGCCAUCCCACUCAUCACUCCAGGCUCUGCCACUACUUGCUGAGCACAGGACUGGCCUCCAGGGAUGGCCUGAAGCCUAACACUGGCCCCCAGCACCUCCUCCCCUGGGAGGCCUUAUCCUCAAGGAAGGACUUCUCUCCAAGGGCAGGCUGUUAGGCCCCUUUCUGAUCAGGAGGCUUCUUUAUGAAUUAAACUCGCCCCACCACCCCCUC
rnacentral:lncRNA from 1 species